UCUACAGCAGCAGCUGUAGCACUCUGCUUCCUGCUGCUUCUAAACACUAUGACAUGCAGAACACACCACAGGCCAGUUUGCCACAGGAUUCAAAGAGGCUGGUAGCUGAUUUCGAAAUGCUUCAUAAAAGCCAUCGCAUCUGCUGAUGAAAGCGUGCCUGUGUGGUGAUACUAUGCAAUACUAUUGAGGGAGAUAUACUGCAAGUGUAAAAAUGAAGCCUUCUGAAUUUUGCAUUUAAAAUAAAACUAUAACAUUU